rnacentral:lncRNA from 1 species
UCGAAGCAUACAUAGUUGGUUAUUGAAGGAGCCGAUAUUUGACUAUGCAAAAACAGUGCAUAGCGUCACAAAGUACGAACAUCAUUAUAGUUUUAACAAAUAGCUGGCUGUCUACAUCAGAGCCUUUACUGCAACGCUUAGAGUCUAACCGGUCAACUUGAUAUUUGCAGAAAGUUAAUAACAUACUUCGAGGAAUACAAUCAAAUGUCGUGAACUUUUUCUGUUUUGCGAUUCUGGCAGCAUGAGUGCAGGGUAUCAAGUAGCGCAAAAUACCCUUUUAGUUUUUACGCUACCACACAGUGACACGCCUUGACGAUUGGACCUGCAGCCGCCAACAGCACCACUGUCAUCAGCAGCGAUAACGGUAACGAAAGCACGUGGUCGUGACGACAAGCCCAGCUGCUGUAUCUCUAACCACCGCAUUAUCAAACCGUUUGUGCUCGUGCCCGCCCCCAAAUUGCAGUCCAUCUUUAAGAAUGUAGGAUCGCUGCCACCGCUGAUCGACUAAAUUGAUGUGAGUUUACGCAGCAAAGAAGAAGCACUGGUAGGAACACUUGGGUAAGACUUGCUGUAGGCCAAUCUGGCGAUGGUCAUCUACCUGCUGUGCGCUGAGCGUGGCCUAUCCCAUUGAGUAACGGAGAUAAUACAACAUUAAGCAGGUCAGUUCUGCCUGAGGUUUCCAUUGCACCUUCGGGAAGGAAGGCGACUUUGUAAUGGAUUACUGCGUAAACCAGCCUCAUAUCACGACGACAUAGAACUACGGCUGUAUUUUGAGAGGUAUCAGGUAGAACAUUUGCCCUGAUAUGACAAGACGACGUUACCAGUGAACUCCUUGAGCGUCCCGCAAGUAAUCUACAUCCCCGGCAUGGAAGUAUCUACCGCCUAAACCUAUCGCUCGCGUGUUCUUAUAAGUGAUGCGUUGGAGAUCAUGGACUAACUUCUAUAGGAAUAACAGACAGAUAUUACUGCACACACACAGAAUUGGGUCCGUGAAGCUUUUCCUAUGCAACCGGUCGCGGGAGGGGAAACAAGUAAACCACGGCGACGUUAUGCGGCCAUUGACGGAGGCGCCUGCCAUGCUACUCUCGACUGGAAAUCAGGCUGGAAUCAGAAUACAUCUUUCUUCGUCCUGAUAGUCGUAAUAUCGAGGUUGUGUACACGACCCACGACGUAGUCUGAGCGUGACCACCGCAUUGCAAACGACAUAUAUGCACGCAUCAAUCUGUACAUCUGUAUACGCAUAUACACAUUUGGCUCGACAUUUUAUUUGCUUAUACUAAUGUCUGGAAGACUGACAGACGUAACGCUCCCAGCUUAAUUAAAAACAACAGAGGUCGCUGCGAGUCGUCAGCGGCCGUAAUAUUGCGUAGCAGCCCUGACAUGGCGCAUUAGUGGCAAACUACCUGAAACAGGGCUAUGAAAGUUCACAGGAGCGAAGGCAUAAGGGAGGUUUUCGACAUCGAAUGAGGUGUCAUUGACCUAGAGGUUUAUAAUUGAAGAAUGACUAAAACGAGAUCGUCCAUAAGGCGAUAUUUGCUUUAUUAAAUCUCUGCAGCUAGUGGAAGAGGCGGCAGUAAAUGGAUGCCAUUUGAACUCCAAACACAAUAACAACUGCAUAUAUGACCUAGACCUAAAUGAUUGUUGCCGAGAAGGGUAAAUACGAAUACGAAUUGGUCGCAAACGUUUGCGACUAACGGCAUCUAUGCAUCGUUAUCAUAAAGGUGGAACUUUAUUCGACAAGCCGUCCGAAACACUUAACCGAUAAGUCUGUGUUAGGCUCCUGGGGUGCCAGCGGUGUCCGUUCUGCUGUUCCUCCAAGAAGAAACGAUCAAGCAGGUUGACAAUCUCAUUAUUAAGCAGCUUUGCCUAAAACAUCAGCCCCCAAUUGCUUGCAACGUAAAAAAAACUUGAUGCCAUUUUAAGUUUUCGUUUUCCUUCGGGUUUUGCAGAAGACUGCUUGCUGCCUACUGAAGCCCGUAGCUUUCUUCUGCCAAAGGAGAGUGCCGGAUGCCAACGGGCGUCCUUUCCCUAGCCGAAGCUUUUUCCCCUGCCUUAUACCAGUUGAUCAUCCUGCUAGCGGAGAUAACGUCCGUACAAAUCGGGCGUGAGGAUGAGAGAAGGAGCUCUCAUCAUGUUAGGAAACAGGAGCAAACGAAGGCUUUCUGGUCUUUCUGUUUUUUCGUCGCCACUUCAUAUAGACAGGCUCCUUACAGCUACGACUUACUACAGACCUACUACAGUAGUGGUGGCGGACGGGCUUGCCGCCAGACAUCAUGCGAGAAGUGAAGAUUAGUGGGGCUUCUUGGGGAAAAUUCGUCCAGCUGGUAGACGAAGAAGUGACGAAAGCAGAGAUCCGAUCUACAAGAACUUGUUCGAAAUCCUAGGAUAAUUCAUUGCCUUUAGGGAAGUAUGUAAAGAAGUCCUGACACGAGAAUAGCGGAGUCUAGAGGCUGUGUUCUCAAAGGUGAGAAGUCUGUACGGGUGUCAAGAAACAUGAGGAUUACCUUAUGAGAACAGCGGCUCGUCACCUUUGACUUUUGUAGUAUACAAGCGCAGUUGUCAGUUGGAUGGAAUACGCAGGAGGGAAAACGAAGGUCAGAUAUAUAGUGAGGCAGCUAAGUGAGUAUAAGACUAUGUGCGAUUCAAUCAAACUUCAGAGUGGAUUAAAAAGCAGACGGAGCGGAAAGGGAAGGUCACUGGUUUUUGGUAAAAUCGUCGUCUUAUUGUGGUUGUCUAAGGAGUCGAUGGUCAUCUUCAUGGUUCCUGCAAUGAUCAAGGAGUUAGGAAAAUGCCCAUGCUCUGAUUGUUUCCCAGCCGAAGAAGUUAUGCAUGAUUUGAGUGUCUUCAUCAUCUGGAAUUUUACCCCCUUACCUGCUUUUACUAAACAUUCUUUAUACUUAGCGUGUAGCAUCAUGUUUAGUUUGCUUAAUGGGUUCUGCUUGCAGGGAACGGAAGGGCAGCUCCGGUAAUCCGUAAUAAAGGGGUUUUGUCUAUCAAAUAAAAUCAGUUCGCCUGUCAAACCCAUAUAAGUUUGUUUGAAUUCAAAGAGCGACAAAUAGAGCCAGUCCAACAGUGUGGUAGAUAGAAUGCCCCCAUAGCUUCUUCGCCAUUGCUGGUGCAGCAGUGAAAUAUCGUUCUGUCCGUUUUUCGCUAAACUGUCAGCUUAUGAAGUAGCCACUUUGUGGCACAACGUCAAGCAGUCGUGAUUUUGGCUAGUGCAGGAAGUGAUUAAGAUAAGUAGUAUGUCGUUGGGGUAACCAUCUGACGUAGCUACUUCAGCGAGAAAACAUCCUUGUAUCCAUCCAUUGGGUAUUGCUUACAACGCGACUUCUGUUUGAACCAAGUAGGUGGCUAACAAAAGAUUUCAUCAGAGACAACAAAGACAGUAGCAGAUCAGGCCCGAUCAACUGAAACAAUGCUCAGCGGCAGACUGACUACGAGGCAAAACGAAACAUAUUUCGGAUAUACAUUGCACACGGCUACUAAUCUGACCGCUGCAAAUAUACGAAGCUAAUUGUCACUGUAUUGCCACUUGCGCGCGAGUUGCACCGAGCUUUACUGAAGUAUUUUCAAGGAUCCAAAGGAAUCAAACUAGGAUUACCGUAGACGCCCGCCGGACUUCUAAGCCUAUAUGCCUCGUCAUACUGCGUGUAAAUUCUGGCUAAGGAAUGCUAGUUUUCUGCUGCUAUUUCUCAUAGCUUCAACAUAUUGUGCUUCGACAGGUGUCGUAAGAUCUGUUACUGCAUGCGGACGUCCAGGCGAAUAGUGACAAGGGGGGAAAAUUAGGUAGCUACAAUAAUCCGACUCCACCGGAAAUUCUAAAUGUUUAUUAACGCGAUUGCUUUAUAUCUAGUUAGGUCUCUCUUAUUAUUUAAGAUUAAGUUUAAACGUUAUUUUGACGAGAUUUAGGCAAUCCGAAAUACGGAAAUCUUCAGCAGUUCUUCUUUUGGAUGACGAUAUUUAAACAUUGUUCAAGUUAGCGUAUAAACCCUCGCUUAAAUACGAGUAACAAAUACUAUAGGUCAAUCUACUGGGUGCACCGUACUUGUCGAUUCUAGAAUUAUACCCAAUGUUAUUUGUGUCUGUGUAUAUUUAUGGAAGCAAUCGAUA